rnacentral:rRNA from 1 species
GAUGAACGCUGGCGGCGUGCUUAACACAUGCAAGUCGAGCGAAGCACUUUGGAAAGAUUCUUCGGAUGAUUUCCUUUGUGACUGAGCGGCGGACGGGUGAGUAACGCGUGGGUAACCUGCCUCAUACAGGGGGAUAACAGUUAGAAAUGACUGCUAAUACCGCAUAAGACCACGGUACCGCAUGGUACAGUGGUAAAAACUCCGGUGGUAUGAGAUGGACCCGCGUCUGAUUAGGUAGUUGGUGGGGUAACGGCCUACCAAGCCGACGAUCAGUAGCCGACCUGAGAGGGUGACCGGCCACAUUGGGACUGAGACACGGCCCAGACUCCUACGGGAGGCAGCAGUGGGGAAUAUUGCACAAUGGAGGAAACUCUGAUGCAGCGACGCCGCGUGAAGGAUGAAGUAUUUCGGUAUGUAAACUUCUAUCAGCAGGGAAGAAAAUGACGGU